rnacentral:rRNA from 1 species
CAGUAGCCGCGGGAAUACGGAGGGUGCAAGCGUUAUCCGGAUUCACUGGGUUUAAAGGGUGCGUAGGCGGGCAGGUAAGUCAGUGGUGAAAUCUUCGAGCUUAACUCGGAAACUGCCGUUGAUACUAUCUGUCUUGAAUAACGUUGAGGUGAGCGGAAUAUGUCAUGUAGCGGUGAAAUGCUUAGAUAUAACAUAGAACACCGAUUGCGAAGGCAGCUCACUAAACGCUCAUUGACGCUGAGGCACGAAAGCGUGGGGAUCAAACAGGAUUAGAUACCCCUGUAGUCCCUGUCUCUUAUAC